rnacentral:lncRNA from 1 species
GGGUACCCUAUAGCCGCCCUAUGGGGUAUCCUAUGGCCACCCUAUGGGGUAUCCUAUGGGGUACCCUAUGGGGUAUCCUAUAGCCACCCUAUAGCCACCCUAUGGGCACCCUAUGGGGUACCCUAUAGCUGCCCUAUGGGGUAUCCUAUAGCCACAAUAUGGGGUAUCCUAUAGCCACAAUAUAGGGUAUCCCAUAGGGUAUCCUAUGGGGUAUCCUAUGGGGUACCCUCUGGGCCACCCUAUAGCCAGCCUAUGGGGUACCCUAUAGCCACCCUAUAGCCACAAUAUAGGGUAUCCCAUGGGGUAUCUUAUGGGGUAUCCUAUGGGCCCCCUAUGGGUACCCUA